rnacentral:rRNA from 1 species
CCUACGGGAGACAGCAGUGAGGAAUAUUGGUCAAUGGACGCAAGUCUGAACCAGCCAUGCCGCGUGCAGGAAGACGGCUCUAUGAGUUGUAAACUGCUUUUGUACGAGGGUAAACGCAGAUACGCGUAUCUGUCUGAAAGUAUCGUACGAAUAAGGAUCGGCUAACUCCGUGCCAGCAGCCGCGGUAAUACGGAGGAUUCAAGCGUUAUCCGGAGUUAUUGGGUUUAAAGGGUGCGUAGGCGGUCUGAUAAGUUAGAGGUGAAAGCCCGAGGCUCAACUUCGGAAUUGCCUCUGAUACUGUUCGGCUAGAGAGUAGUUGCGGUAGGCGGAAUGUAGGGUGUAGCGGUGAAAUGCUUAGAGAUCAUACAGAACACCGAUUGCGAAGGCAGCUUACCAAGCUACUUCUGACGUUGAGGCACGAAAGCGUGGGGAGCAAACAGGAUUAGAUACCCCAGUAGUC